GCCCAGGCCAAUGAGGAAGCUUUUAAAAAAUAAUUUGUCAUUUUUUAUCUUAGCAGAUCACCCUCAUGGCGCAGAGGAAUGGGAAAAAGCUGAUGCCUUGGAAUGGGCCCCUUGGGCUCCUGUCUUCCUCAGAACCGUGCCCUCUCAGCUGUUUCCUGUUACCUGGUACCCGGUUCCAGGUAAACAGACUCCUUCAUGUCUGUGACCUCCACCAACAAGAAUCCUCUACCUCACAUCUGACCAAACCUGGCUGGUCCCUAAGAACCCUGCUGUGGGAUAGAUUCUCCCUCCACAUGUUCCUGAGGGCUCUGGUCCUCUUUGCUAUUGCAGCCUUUGGCGUGCUCCUCUUCUGUUAUCUUCUGCCCUGUUGAAGUUCAUGUUUCUCAACUGCUACCCUCAACCUCCCUCCUUCAGCUUCUUGGAGGUUCCCUUAAUUCUCUGACCAUGUCAACUCUGAACUCUUUGUCCUUUUCACCAUCUUAAGUCUUUCUGUCACCUGGACAACUUCAGCCACCCAUGAAGGAUGACCAAUUUGACUCUGGGCUCCCAGUUCCUCUACUUCCUUCUCUCUUUUGGCCUUCACCACCCUUCCAUUUCUGAUGAGCUCUCCCAAAGCCAUAUCCUUGAACUUACCACCUGAAAUCACUCAACUUCUGAAAUUUAAAAAUCAGUUACCCCACUCUUUCACCACAACCUCUUGGCACAUGGCUCUCUCAGUCAGAGCAUUCCCCAUGUGUUCUUAGACCUCACAGAAACAUCUAGUCCCCUGCCUCCUCUGCUUUUCUAAUUUGCCAUCAACUGCACCCCCCCAUCCCCACAAUCUUCUUACUUUUUCUUCUAUCCAGCCUAGACUGUGCCCUAUAAUUUCAAUACUUUAGUUCCUAAGUUAUAUGGUCCACUGUUGCACUCAAUUCUGGAUCAUUCACCUGUUCACCUUCUUUUUUCCAGACCAAAUCAGGACUGCUAGCUUCCAGUGAAAACAGUAAGUGUGACUGCCACAAGCAUGAGUGCCAGAUUUAUAGUCUCCCACCUCAGCCAGGCCUUCAAUGAAGCCAGGUGAUCCUAUGUCUCUCCAGUCGGCUCUCUCUCGUUCUCUAUGGGCACGAUCUCAAACCUUCCUCAUUCCUCACUUUCUGCUCCAUCUCUCUCUUUCUCUCUCACUGUCAACAAAAUAUAUUUGCCCUCUUUCCUAAAGAAAGCAGAAGCAUCACACGAGAAUUCUUCCAACUUUCUGGGAUCAAGCCUGUAAGCUCGCUAUGGGCUCACUCAUUGCUUUCUCUGUCCUGCCUGCUAUAAAGGAGGUUGGGUUCUUCAUCCCAAUUCUGGCCCAUCUCUCCACCAAUAACAUGGAUCUCAGCCCCUCCCUCCUCUUGUGGGGCCUUAUUUCAUCCAUUAUGCCCUCACUCACCUGUAUUUUAAAAACAUCCUUUAAGAGGAAUUUCAAGAACAAUAUCACUGAUGAAUAUUGAUGCGAAAAUCCUCAAGAAAAUACUAGCAAACUGAAUUCAACAACACAUUAAAAAGAUCACUCAUCAUGACCAAAUGGGAUUUAUCCCUGGGAUGCAAGGAUGGUUCAACAUAUGCAAAUCAAUUAAUGUGAUACAUCAUAUCAAUGGAAUAAAGAAUAAAAACCAUAUGAUCAUUAAAAUUGAUGCAGAAAAAGCAUUUGAUAAAGUUCAACAUCUCUUCAUGAUAAAAACCCUCAAAAACCAGGGUAUUGAAGGAACAUACCUCAACAUAAUAAAACUCAUGUAUGACAGACCCACAGCUAGUAUUAUGCUGAGUGGGGGAAAACUGAAAGCCUUUCCUCUUAGAUCUGGAACACGACAAGGAUGUCCACUGUCACCACUGUUAUUCAACAUAGAACUGGAAGUCCUAGCUAGAGCAAUCAGACAAGAGAAAGAAAUAAAGGGCAUUCAAAUUGGAAAGCAAGAAGUCAAAUUAUCCUUGUUUGCAGAUAAUAUGAUUUUAUAUUUGGAAACACCUAACAAUGCCACCAAAAACUAUUAGAACUGAUAAACAAAUUCAGUAAAGUUUCAGGAUACAAAAUUAAUGUACAAAAAUCAGUAGCAUUUUUCUCUGCCAACAGUGAACAAUCUGAAACAGAAAUUGUGAAAGUAAUCCCAUUUACAAUAGCCACAAAUGAAGUAAGACACCUAGGAAUUAACUUAACCAAAUAAUUGAAAGAUUUCUACAAUAAAAUCUAUAAAACACUGAUGUAAGUAAUUGAAGAGGACACAAAAAAUUGAAGUAUAUUCCAUGUUCAUGGAUCAGAAGAGUCAAUAUUGUUAAAAUGUCCAUACUAUCCAAAGCAAUCUACAGAUUUAAUGCAAUUCCUACCAAAAUACCAGUGACAUUCUUCACAGAAAUAGAAAAAACAAUUCUAAAAUUUAUGUGUAGCCACAAAAGACACAGAAUAGCCAAACCUAUUCUAAGAACAAAACUGGAGGAAUCACAUUACCUGACUUCAAAUUAUACUAUAGAAGCCAAAACAGCAUGGUACUGGCAUAAAAACAGACACAUAAACCAAACAGAAUAGAUAAUCCAGUAUCAAAUCCAUACAACUACAGUGAGUUCAUUUUUGACAAAUGUGCUGAGAAUGUACCUUGGGGAAAGGGCAGUCUCUUUGAUAAGUGGUGCUUGGGAAACUAGAUAUCCAUAUGCAGAAGAAUGAAACCAGACCCCCAUCUCUCUCCAUAUACAGAAGUGAAAUCAAAAUAGAUUAGAAACUUAAAUCUAAGACCUCAAACUGUUAAGCUCCUACAAGAAAACAUCAAGGAAACUCUCUAGGAUAUUGGACUGGGCAAAGAUUUCUUGAGUAAUACUUCACAAACACAUGCAACCAAAACAAAACUGGAAAAUGGCAUCACACCAAGUUAAACAGCUUCUGCACAGGAAAGGAAACAGUCAACAAAGUGAAGAGACAAUCCACAGGAUAAAUUUUCAAACUACCCAUCUGACAAGGAAUUAAUAUCCAGAAUAUAUAAGGAGCUCACACAACUCUAUAGGAAAAAAAUCUAAUAAUCCAACUAAAAAAUGGGGAAAAUAUGUGAAUAGACAUUUCUCAAAAGAAGACAUACAAAUGGCAAACAGGUAUAUUAAAAGGUACUCAAUAUCAUUGAUCAUCAGAGAAAUGCAAAUCAAAACUACAGUGAAAUAUCGUCUCACCCCAAUUAAAAUGACUUUUAUCCAAAAAUCAGGCAAUAACAAACUCUGGCGGGGAUGUGGAGAAAAGAAAACCCUUGUACACUGUUGGUGAUAAUGUAAAUUAGUACAAUCACUAUGGAGAACAAUUUGUAGGUUCCUCUAAAAACCAAAAAUAGGCUGGGUGCGGUGGCUCACACCUGUAAUCCCAGCACUUUGGGAGGCUGAGGCGGGUGGAUUGCCUGAGGUCAGGAGUUUGAGAGCAGCCUGGCCAACAUACUGAAACCCCGAUUCUACUAAAAAUACAAAAAAUUAGCUGGGCAUGGUGGCGGGCGCCUGUAAUCUCAGCUACUCAGGAAGCUGAGGCAGGAGAAUCACUUAAACUCGGGAGGCAGAAGUUGCAGUGAGCCAAGAUCGCACCACUGCACUCCAGUCUGGGGGACAAGAGUGAGACUCUGUCUCAAAACAGCAACAACAACAACAACCUAAAAAUAGUGCUACCAUAUGAUCCAACAAUCCUACCCCUAGAUAGAUACUCAAAAGAAAGGAAAUCAGUAUAUUGAAGAAAUCAGUAUAUCUUUACUUCCAUGUUUAUUGCAGCAUUAUUCACGAUAGCCAAGAUUUGGAAGCAACCUAAGCAUCCAUCAACAAACAAAUGGAUAAAGAGAAUGUGGUACAUAUACACCAUAGAAUACUAUUCAGCCAUAAAAAGAAUGAGAUCUUGUCAAUUUGCAACAACGUAGAUAGAACCAGAGGUCGUUAUGUUAAGUGAAAUAAUCCAGGCACAGAAAGACAAACUUCACUUGUUCUCACUUAUUUGUGGGAGCUAAAAAUUAAAACAAUUGAACUCAUAGAGAUAGAGAAUAGAAGGAUAGUUACCAGAGGCUGGGAAGGGUAGUGGCAGGUUGGGGGUGGAAAAUGGGGAUGGUUAAUGGGUACAAAAGGUAAUUAGGAAGAAUAAAUAAGACCUACUAUUUGAAAGCACAACAGAGUGGCUAUAGUCAAAAAUAACUUAAUUGUAUAUUUUAAAAUAACUAAAAGAGUAUAAUUGGACUCUUUGUAACACAAAGGAUAAAUGCUUGAAGUGAUGGAUGCCCCAUUUACCCUAACGUGAUUAUUACACAUUGCAUGCUUAUAUCUAAAUAUCUCAUGUACUCCAUAAAUAGAUAUACCUACUAUAUACCCACAAAAGUUAAAAAAGUUCAAACUUAGAGACAUGAGUAAUCAAAUAAAUGGGAUAUUCUUACCAUCUGCAUCAGUUAAACCUCUUAGUUAUAAACAGGAGAAACCUGCCAUCUACAGAUGGCUUAAGGAGAAAAAGGGUUUAUUAAGGAAAACAUAAUUAGAUAACACAAUCUCCCUAAAGACAGAGAACCACGCUUGGAAGCCAGGGAGGUAGGAACAUGCGCAAAUCAUAUGACCAGCCCACUCCAGGAGAGCACUGACACUGCAAGCCCACUCUACCGGUGGGGCCAGCUUCACAAGCCUGUGGCCUAGCUGCAAAAGAGGCUUGGGAAAAAGUUUCUGGUUCCUACUUUGGGGAGGUAGAAAAUUCCCAAACAAAAGAAUGGUGUUUAAAGGUGCUGAAUAGACAAGAAGAAUGUUGAAUGUCCACUACAGUCCACCCCUUGGCUGUUUAACACCUACUUACACUCUUCUUCCUUACUUAACUUCAAAAUGUAAAUAUCAUCAACCACCACAAACACUUCCAUUUAGCACAAUACAGCUAUCCAUCGCACAAACAAAAUUAAAUUCAUGAUAUUCACCGAAGGGAAGUUCAGCAUCUAUAGAAGAAAGAGGUUCAGACCUCAUUUUGUUCCAUCACGAUCCUGUCUUGAUGUACUGAAACCUGUGGAGGCACUGGCAUGGUAACCAUGAUAACACAUUCUGGGGUAAAAAGUAAGGGAAAUCCAAUGGUGCCUAUUAUUAAGUUAUUAUCUCUUAUCUCCAAAUUCACCAUUGUAUGCCCUCCUGGGCCUAGGACUGUACCACGCUUCCAUGUCAGAUGCUGCCAAUAGGGACAUCACUGGGGGCUGGAGGAGAGAGAGGAGACAUGUUUCUUCCUGUCUGUGUGCUGUUCCGGUCAGUGUCCUCCCAGCAAGUUCUUCAUCCAACAACAGCAUUUGAUUUCGGUCUGUAGUUUUCCCCUCAUUCUUAGAAUGUGCCUUAUCACACCUUCCCCCUGUCCCGCUCAGUGACAACAGCCAGGUAACACACUAGCCUCAGAGCUUUGGGUUCCACCUGCUCAGUGCCGCUUCUCUAAGCUUCUCAAUGUAUUAAUCCCAACCAUUUCGCUUUGUUCCUCCAGCCCUAGAGAGGCAAGGGCUCUGAUUCCUGCCACUGCGAGUACUAUGUUAUCUCAAUGUUCCUUUUUGCUUUUUCAGUCUUCCAACACCAGUUUAAGUAAUUCUCUGCAUUCUCUAGGUUGAACAAAAGCCAGCAUGGUAGUCCUUGUUACUGGUAAGUAAUUGUGACUUCACUCCUCUACCACCUAUUUCAUGUUCCCUUUGUCCUCAGCUGCUCAGAAUUCUUUACUCAGUGGGAGGAAUACAAAUUUUCAUUUCAGAAAGAUCUGAACCAUAGGUGGCCAAGCAUAUGUGAACUUGCAAGGAACAUGGAAGGCGUAGUGAAGCAAGGAAAUAAUGAUUACCAAGUAUGGCCUCAUGACUUGUUCAGAAACAGGGACUAUAGUGCAUUGUUGUGGUUAUGUAUAUAAACUGUAGGGUGGACGUGGGAAGACUAGUUAGGAGGCUUUUACAGUAAUCCAUAGGGAGGGAGAGUAAUGGCCCAGACCAAGGUGGCAACAGUGGAAGUGGUGAAAAGUGAAUGGAUUCUAAACACAUUUUGAAGCCAACAAGAUAUGCUGAUGGAUUAGAUGAAAGGUGUAAAGGGAAGGGGGGAGUCAAAGAUUGUUCCAAGGAUUUGGGCCUGAGCAAUGGGAAGGAUGGAGCUGCCAUCAACUGAGUUGGGGAAGGCAUUAGGUAGAGGAAAUUUGAAGGGAAAGUCAAGAGUUCAUUUGGAUAUAUUGAGAUUGAGAUGCCUGUUAGCCAUCCAAGUGAAAAUGAUUCCUACAGCUUUGCCUUUGGAACAGAUUUGUCACCUCCCGCUAGAAUGAGAAAGCCCUGACGUCAGUCUCUUUGUCUCUCAUUUCAGCAUCUUUAAUGCUCAGCACAGUGCCUGGACCCUGAUCAUUUCAGUAAAUAGCUUUUGAAUUAAUGAAUGAAGGAAUGAGUAAAUGAAUGAAUGAAUAAAAAAAUGAAAAACUUCGGGGGUUCUCAUAUAGGCCAAAGUUUGUCUUAUCCAGGUUCCAACUCCACCAUUCUUUUCCAGAAAGAACAAGAUAACCAUUUUAUUCUGCACACUGUGGCCAAUAUUCAUUGGAAACCUGUCUUAUUAGUUUACUAAUUGUAGAUGAAAUCUUUCUCCCUUGAAGUGGAGAAAUCCCUCAGAGAGACAAGAGCCUUCCUCCCUCCUGUUAUAGGCAUGUCUCAGCCUGGAUUCAGCUGGAGACUUGUUCCGACUAGAAGAUAGGGCUUUGACAAUGGUCUCAGGUCUGGGAGAGUCUGAGGGCACAGUGUGUGCAGUAGAAUCCUCUUCUUCUCUUCUUCCCUGUUACAUGGGUGUGUUUUUUUGUGUUGUGGCUUCUCAUAGGAAACCUAAGGUGGACCCAGAACAGUUUCCCUUGGAGCUUCUCUCUCUGCCCCAGUUCAAAUCCCAGUAAUUACGGAGUCCCAAUUCAGUACUUCUGAUAGGAAGCAAAAGUAAGGUUCAUCCUCUCCCCAGUGUCCAGUAUAGAACAGGAGGCAUUCAUUUGGACAGUUUCACCCUAAUUCAGCCACAGUUAGGACUCCUGCGUCAGGCUGCCGCUAUAGUGCGCUGCCUGUCUCCCUGCACCCUGACCUCUGGCAUCCCCUCCUUUGAGGAGACUUUCAUAACUCCCAAUUUUGGUUUAUGAGUUGUUGCUAUGCAGGGAGAAACGCAGGAGGUGAAGGUGAAGGUGGGGAGUUGAUUUGCUAUUAACAAACUUCUGUAUCUUGAUUUUAUGUUCAAAAUACGUGAUUACAUGUACUUGAUGGAACUUAACAUUUUUGCUUAUUUGGAAUUGUUUUUUUCUUUCUGCUUUUCUUCACUCAAAUCUGGAAAGCAUAAGGUGCUCACUAAUUAGAGGUAACCAUGGUUACCAAGUUGUCUUCAAAAUACCCCUAAGAGUUCCUUUUUAUUUUUUGAGUUCUUAUUCUACAAAAAGCACUUCACUUGUCAGUCUUCUUUGUUCUCUUUUCAGUUUCAUGGGGUGAUGUUCCAAACCUGGGAGAUUUUUGGUAGCUCUGUUAAAAGUUCAAAAGUAAAAUAAUAAAAUAAACUACCUAUUCUUAGAAAAUAGUCGCAUGCCCAAAAUUAUCUGGUUUUAAAAUUUCAGCUGACUGGGUAGCAACGAGAAAUACACCAGAAUCCUGCAAAUUUCAAUGUGUAUACAGUAGCUUCCCAUUAUCUGCAAUUUUGCUUUCUGUGAUUUCAGUGACCCAUGGUCAACCGUGGUCUGAAGACAUUAAAUGGAGAAUCCAAGAAAUAAACAAUUCAUAAGUUUUAAAUUGAGUACUGUUUUGAGUAGUGUGAUGAAAUCUUGUGCCUGCCUGCUCCGUCCUGCCUGGGAAAUAAAUCCUCCCUUUGUCCAGCAAGAUCCAUGCUGUAUAUGCUAUCCACUCAUUAGUUACUUAGUAGCUGUUUCGGUUAUCAGAUCUAAACAACAUAGGAUAUAUAAGGUUCAGUACCAUCCGCAGUUUCAGACAUCCACCUGCGGUUUUGGAACGUAUCCCCCAUGGAUAAGGGUAAAAUAUUGUACAGCUAAAAUCCUCAGCAGAGGAGCUGGCACCCGGGGGAGUGUUUUCUAAAAUUUCCACUUGAGGGCGCUGUCGUCUUCUGUAAGGGUAGAACUGACGUAUUUUUUUUCCAGUUAGGUUAGUUACUGCAUAUGAAAAACUUCACUGACACCCAGGUUUCGGUUUGCUGCAGUGGUGAUUAGAGGUCUCUUAGAGACUGGCACACUAGGUAGCCACCUGGUUGGCCUCCCCUUCAUUCAGUCAGCUCUGCCAUUCAGCUUUCUUCCAGCCUCUGUACCUUACCUGUCCUAGUUCUUGUUUUAUUGUACUGCCACUCAACUUUUCUGAAUCUCCCACUUGGCUGGGUCUCUGUACCUGCUAAAUCAACACAGUGCCUGGCAUACAGGUGCAUUUCAGUGCAUGCUGGUGAGACAGCGAAGGGCUUGAAACAGUCCACACAAGUUGAUGCAGGAGAGCAGUACAAUCCUUUCUGGAGUGGGACUCAGAAAGAUCAUGCCAGCAGCAGUCCAGGAGCGUUGGGGCAGGUAAGAUGGAAUAAGUGCACUCCAACCAUCAUUUCUGUUGGUCAUAACUCCAGGAGAGAAAGUUUAGAACAGCUAUUUGAGGACAGUGAAAAGAAAACAGCAGAAGGAAUAUUGGUGAAGAACACAGAAUUUGAAGUACAUCAAACCAGUAGCCCUGGGCAAACCCACACCUGCAGGGUCAGCAGUCAGUAACGGGACUGACAGGAGCCAAAACUCUGAACUGUGGUCCCACAGCAGGGCUCACUUCCAAGCCAUACAUGUUUGGAUCUGGUUUUAAUGAGGAUACCAAGACCUUUGAGAACUGAAGUAAUGGAGAGGUCAUCACCUGGUUCCUAGACUGUCUUCUGGGUGGUGCACACCUGAAAUGGAGACAAAAAGCAGUUUGAAAACUGAGUGGAUGUUGACAUCACAGUGCACAGAAGGUGGGUUGGAACUUGCAAACUGAACCUAACCAUGUCCAUCACCUACUGAAACAAAAUAUCAACAUUUUUCAUAAUAUUUAAACAAGAUCCAGAGUCUCACCAAAUAAUACCUAAAUUGUUCAGGAUAAAAUAAAAAAAUACUGAGCAUACAAAGAACCAUAACAAUUUAGGUCACUUUCGCCUUUAUCCCCCUGCUGUGCAUUGCAGGUUCUGUGUCGUUCUCCAACUGCUCCCCAUCCCACCCCAAUUUUCUUUGAAAAAGGCAAUCCACAGACACAAAUGAUGAGAUUUCACAGAUGUUGGAAUUAGAAGACGAAGGCUUUGAAGCAGCUGUUAUAAAGGUGCUCAAAUGAGCAAUUGUGAAUAUUCUUGAAACAAAUGUUAACAUACAAAAUCUUAGUAAGGAAAUAGAAGAUAUAAGCGGAAAUUUGAGAACUUAGAAAUAUCAGAACCAAACCAAGAAAUUCACUGGUGGACUCAUUACCAGAAUGGAAAUGAUAGAAGAAAGAGUCAGUGAACUUAAAAGUAGAUAAAUAGAAAUUAUCCACUGUAAACCGUAGAGACAAAAAAUAGAAUAAAAAAACAGAACAGGCCUCUCUGACAUACGCAACAACAACAAAAGGUCUACGAUUUAUGUCAUCAAGACCCCAGAAAGGGAGAUGAAAGACAGUGAUGCUGAAAAACAUUUAAAUAAUGUUUUAAAAUGUCCCAAGUUUGGUGAAAGAUGUAAACUUACACCUUCAAGACUUGAAUAAACCCCCAACAGGGUAAACACAAAGAAAUCUACAUCCAGACACAUCAUAAUCAAACUACUGAAAGCUAAAGACAAAGCAAAAAUCUUGAAAGUAGCCAGAGAAAAAUGACUCAUUAUCUGUGGGGCACAAUGAUAUGAAUGACUGCAGAUUUCUCAUCAGAAACCAUGAAGGCCAUAGGUAGUGAUACAGCAUUUAUUUAUUUAUUAUUUUUUAAGAAAGGGUCUCACUCUGUUGCCCAGGCUGGAGUGCAGUGGUGCAAACACGGCUCACUAUAGCCUCAACCUCCCAGGCUCAAGUGAUCCUUUUGUCUCAGCACCCCAAGUAGCUGGGACUACAGGCACAGGCACCACCGUGCCCAGCUAAUUUUGGUAUUUUCUGUAGAGACUGGGCUUCACUAUGUUGCCCAGGCUGGUCUCGAACUCCUGAGCUCAAGCAAUCCAUCCACCUUGGCUUCCCAAAGUGCUGGGAUUACAGGUGUGAGCCACCAAUCCAAGCCUGUGAUACAGUAUUUAUAAAGUGCUGAAAGAAAAUAACUGUUAACCUAGAAUUCAAAACCCAGCAAAAAUAUCCUUUAGGGAUGAAGGCAAAAUAAAGACAUUCUCAGAUGAAAGAAAACUAAAAGAAUUCAUAGAAGCAAAUCUGCUCUAAAGGAACUGAUACAGUUCUCCUGAUAGAGGGUAUGGUUCCAUCCUAGCAGCUGAACUUGUGGCCCUUCUGUAUUAUCCCUACCUUGUUGAGCCUAAAGGUUGCCACUCGGUGUAAAGAAUGGACUACCCAUGUGACUGAAUCUAUCAUUUUCUAUUUAUAAGGUAAAUGCAGAGAUUUCAGACUACAAAGUGACCUUCAUAGGCCAAUGGUGUUUCUGGAAACCUGUGAGCAGAAAAAGGACUUCCACUCUGAGGGGUGGCAGCAUAGUCCCUUGGCUGGGGCAACUGGUCUCUUUGGCAAUAACUGCUUAUCAGAGAGGUUCCCAUGGCAUCCAGGCCCUGCAGGGUGCUGUUGAGACCCUGUCAGGUGAGAACAAAAUGGCAGUAGUGUGGCCCAGUCUCCCAUACUGAGGGCGGAAGGCACCAGAAGACAGUAGACACUGGUCCAAAACCUGCAGGUGUGCACAGCAGAUGGAAUACUCCUUUCUGCCAGCAGAGGUGAUAUUUUCAGGGGGCUUCGUGGCUUUAGUGAGAGAGAACCAAGGAACUGGAAAGGAUGGACACUGUGGGUGGCCACACCCACAAACCUCGGCGAUUGGCAAAAUCAUCUGAGGAGAAUUGGAUUGUUUCCUUGGCAAACGAAGUGGUUGAAGAAACUAUUUUUGUGGCUGUUCUUACGAUUCUGUGUCUCACUGUAGACUGGCACAGCCUAGAGAAAAUGCACUAUGGUUGUUAUAAAGACAAUCUACAAAUAUUACAAGUAAUUUGGAGAAGAGAAAGAAAAACACCUGUGAUCCUAUAACCCUAGCAUGACUAUCAUCAUUUUCACAUAAUUUCAUUCAUUGGAAAAUAAACUUAAUAUGAGGUUGAAUGAGCUGAGAGGACCUUUUCACUUUACAUGGGUCACGAUUAUUUUCAAUGUUUCUACAUUGUCCUCAUACUCAUAACUUAAAUAACUGCUUGAUUAAAUGGAUGCACAUUAACUUAACUAAUUCUAUGUACAUUAAUUUCCU